UUGAACGCUGGCGGCAUGCUUUACACAUGCAAGUCGAACGGCAGCGCGGGCUUCGGCCUGGCGGCGAGUGGCGAACGGGUGAGUAAUACAUCGGAACGUGCCCAGUAGUGGGGGAUAGCUCGGCGAAAGCCGGAUUAAUACCGCAUACGGCCUGAGGGUGAAAGCGGGGGAUCUUCGGACCUCGCGCUAUUGGAGCGGCCGAUGGCAGAUUAGCUAGUUGGUGGGGUAAAGGCCUACCAAGGCGACGAUCUGUAGCUGGUCUGAGAGGACGACCAGCCACACUGGGACUGAGACACGGCCCAGACUCCUACGGGAGGCAGCAGUGGGGAAGUUUGGACAAUGGGCGAAAGCCUGAUCCAGCAAUGCCGCGUGUGUGAUGAAGGCCUUCGGGUUGUAAAGCACUUUUGGCGGGAACGAAAAGGACUGUGCCAAUACCACGGUUCGAUGACGGUACCCGCAGAAUAAGCACCGGCUAACUACGUG
rnacentral:rRNA from 1 species